GGGAGCGUCGAUAAAUCCGUCGAAAUGCCGAACCGUGAGACUCUUAAUCAGCGGGUCCAAGGUUCGAGCCCUUGUGCGCCCACCA
rnacentral:tRNA from 2 species